rnacentral:rRNA from 1 species
UACGUAGGUGACAAGCGUUGUCCGGAUUUACUGGGCGUAAAGAGCGCGCAGGCGGUCGAUCAAGUCGAGUGUGAAAGCCCCCCGGCUCAACUGGGGAGGGUCAUUCGAUACUGAUCGACUCGAAGGCAGGAGAGGGUAGUGGAAUUCCCGGUGUAGUGGUGAAAUGCGUAGAUAUCGGGAGGAACACCAGUGGCGAAGGCAGCACUCUGGGGCUGGAACUGACGCUGAGGAGCGAAAGCGUGGGUAGCAAACAGG